GAGGGGCUGCAACCUGAUGCACUCGACACAGAGGUGCGCCAGGGUCUCCCUCUCAGCACAGACAGGCCGGGUGUCAGUGGAAUCAGUGAGCCCUGCCAGGUCAGGCUAGAUGAUCAGAGUGGUCCCUUCUGUUCCUGGGAUCUAUGAUCAAAGGGAUGAAGAGAGGACAUUAAAGGUGAAGGCCUGGGGGGAAACUCAGGACCAGUGCCUAAAAAAAUCCAGGCUUUCUCCAGUGAACGAAGGAGAUCAGCUCGGUUGUUCAGCCUGCAUGGCAGCCUUCUCUUCUCCACACCCUUCUUACUCUGUCCAAGUCCUAAACAUGCCCUGGCAAGACAGCCGUUAUUCCUGAAAAUGGGACGGAAGAUAUGUAUUCUCUAUUGGUUGCAUCCUGGUGGCAUCUGCAAUGCACAAGGCUCUGAUGAGACACACGCUCACGUCUGGACCCAAUCCCUGCCCCGAAGAGUAUACAGUCUAAGACCCACUCUCUAACGUUGCCUUUUGCUGUUUUCAGGAAG